CUUCAGAAUUGAUUUAUUUAUCAAUUAUUGCACAUAAACAUAAACAAUGGUGGCAGUCUGUGUAGUUUAUGGGCGCUGUCAAGACGUUUACGUGGGUAUAUGUUUUCAUACAGCUCCUUUCAGUUCUCCAUAAAGCGUUACCGGUCCAUUUGGACUUUAUCAAAGACGGCCACUUUUCUGUUGCCAGAAGUACACACGCAUGUGCAAAGUCACACGUAUAGUUCAAAACUUCCCGAGCUUGGCGUGCCAACUGCACAUAAAAAAAAUGUGACCGCCUCCAUUGUUAUGUUUUGACAGGUCACUUGAACAAAUAAAUAAUUAAUAAUUCACAGCAAGAUAUACGUAUUUCUGAGUUUCAAACUUAAUUACAUUGCAGGAUAUGAAUCUAAAAAGUGAGUGGGAAAAAGCUCUUUUGAUAACCCUGAGACAGAUGUUCUUUGCGAAAUAAAUUUUCGAGCGAAGAUGUAGAAAAAUUCUUUGAAAGAAAAUGCCGGAUGGAACAAUCCACCGGAUACAGAGAAAAGUUUAAAACGGAACGCUAUUCCGAUGAAGGAUGAUGAUUUCGAGAUCGGCGGCCAUAUUUUUUUCAAGUGCGGUUGGCAGGCCACGCUCGGGAAGUUUUGACCUAUGCGUAAGUGUGAUUUUGCACCCCUUUGUGUGCUUAAUUCUAGCAACAGAAAAGUGCUCAUUUUCAGUUCCACUAGUUUAGUCUCCUUAUGUAUAUUCUCCAUGGGGAAACGCCUUAACGAAAAGGUGAUGUCUGGAAAUUUUUUGUGGCUGUAAGUCAAGAUGGGACAGAUGGUUUUAGGUGCAAUUACUGCAACAUGUUUUACAUGAAAAAUGCAACUAAUUUUUUAAUGUUCAAAAUCAUUUAUUUUCAUGUAAAAAGACGCUUUCCUAAUUUCAAGCAUUUUUAAUUUUGUUCUUUUUUUAUGUACAACACAUCUAUUUAUGUAAAAAAAUCUACAUCUUAAAGGUGGGCUGCAUUAAAUAAAUAUAUAUUUUG